AAAUUGAAGAGUUUGAUCAUGGCUCAGAUUGAACGCUGGCGGCAGGCCUAACACAUGCAAGUCGAGCGGAAACGAGUUAUCUGAACCUUCGGGGAACGAUAACGGCGUCGAGCGGCGGACGGGUGAGUAAUGCCUAGGAAAUUGCCCUGAUGUGGGGGAUAACCAUUGGAAACGAUGGCUAAUACCGCAUGAUGCCUACGGGCCAAAGAGGGGGACCUUCGGGCCUCUCGCGUCAGGAUAUGCCUAGGUGGGAUUAGCUAGUUGGUGAGGUAAGGGCUCACCAAGGCGACGAUCCCUAGCUGGUCUGAGAGGAUGAUCAGCCACACUGGAACUGAGACACGGUCCAGACUCCUACGGGAGGCAGCAGUGGGGAAUAUUGCACAAUGGGCGCAAGCCUGAUGCAGCCAUGCCGCGUGUGUGAAGAAGGCCUUCGGGUUGUAAAGCACUUUCAGUCGUGAGGAAGGUAGUGUAGUUAAUAGCUGCAUUAUUUGACGUUAGCGACAGAAGAAGCACCGGCUAACUCCGUGCCAGCAGCCGCGGUAAUACGGAGGGUGCGAGCGUUAAUCGGAAUUACUGGGCGUAAAGCGCAUGCAGGUGGUUUGUUAAGUCAGAUGUGAAAGCCCGGGGCUCAACCUCGGAAUAGCAUUUGAAACUGGCAGACUAGAGUACUGUAGAGGGGGGUAGAAUUUCAGGUGUAGCGGUGAAAUGCGUAGAGAUCUGAAGGAAUACCGGUGGCGAAGGCGGCCCCCUGGACAGAUACUGACACUCAGAUGCGAAAGCGUGGGGAGCAAACAGGAUUAGAUACCCUGGUAGUCCACGCCGUAAACGAUGUCUACUUGGAGGUUGUGGCCUUGAGCCGUGGCUUUCGGAGCUAACGCGUUAAGUAGACCGCCUGGGGAGUACGGUCGCAAGAUUAAAACUCAAAUGAAUUGACGGGGGCCCGCACAAGCGGUGGAGCAUGUGGUUUAAUUCGAUGCAACGCGAAGAACCUUACCUACUCUUGACAUCCAGAGAACUUUCCAGAGAUGGAUUGGUGCCUUCGGGAGCUCUGAGACAGGUGCUGCAUGGCUGUCGUCAGCUCGUGUUGUGAAAUGUUGGGUUAAGUCCCGCAACGAGCGCAACCCUUAUCCUUGUUUGCCAGCACUUCGGGUGGGAACUCCAGGGAGACUGCCGGUGAUAAACCGGAGGAAGGUGGGGACGACGUCAAGUCAUCAUGGCCCUUACGAGUAGGGCUACACACGUGCUACAAUGGCGCAUACAGAGGGCGGCCAACUUGCGAAAGUGAGCGAAUCCCAAAAAGUGCGUCGUAGUCCGGAUUGGAGUCUGCAACUCGACUCCAUGAAGUCGGAAUCGCUAGUAAUCGUGGAUCAGAAUGCCACGGUGAAUACGUUCCCGGGCCUUGUACACACCGCCCGUCACACCAUGGGAGUGGGCUGCAAAAGAAGUAGGUAGUUUAACCUUCGGGGGGACGCUUACCACUUUGUGGUUCAUGACUGGGGUGAAGUCGUAACAAGGUAGCGCUAGGGGAACCUGGCGCUGGAUCACCUCCUUAAACGAUGAU
rnacentral:rRNA from 1 species